AGCGCCGUUGAUACUGUGAAGCUAGGAUUUGGUUGCUGUGGGCGGAAUGUGUGGUGUAGCGGUGAAAUGCAUAGAGAUCACACAGAAUAUCGAUUGCGAAGGCAGCUCACAAAGCCAAUAUUGACGCUGAGGCACGAAAGUGUGGGGAUCAAACAGGAUUAGAUACCCUGGUAGUCCACACUGUAAACGAUGAUAACUCGCUGUCGGCGAUAGACCGUCGGUGGCCAAGCGAAAGCGAUAAGUUAUCCACCUGGGGAGUACGACCGCAAGGUUGAAACUCAAAGGAAUUGACGGGGGCCCGCACAAGCGGAGGAACAUGUGGUUUAAUUCGAUGAUACGCGAGGAACCUUACCCGGGCUCGAACGGUGCAUGAAUAAUACAGAGAUGGAUUAGUCCUUCGGGACAUGUAUCGAGGUGCUGCAUGGUUGUCGUCAGCUCGUGCCGUGAGGUGUCGGCUUAAGUGCCAUAACGAGCGCAACCCUUGUCAUUAGUUACCAUCAGGUCAAGCUGGGGACUCUAGUGAGACUGCCACCGUAAGGUGUGAGGAACGGGGGGGAUGACGUCAAAUCAGCACGGUCCUUAUGUCCGGGGCGACACACGUGUUACAAUGGGGAGGUACAGAGGGCAGCCAGUAGCGAUAACGCCGCCAUCUCAAAAGCGUUCCUCAGUCGGAUGCAGUCUGCACUCGA
rnacentral:rRNA from 1 species